rnacentral:rRNA from 1 species
AUUGAACGCUGGCGGCAUGCUUUACACAUGCAAGUCGAACGGUAACAGGCCGCAAGGUGCUGACGAGUGGCGAACGGGUGAGUAAUGCAUCGGAACGUGCCCAGUCGUGGGGGAUAACCGCUCGAAAGAGUAGCUAAUACCGCAUACGAUCUAUGGAUGAAAGCGGGGGACCGUAAGGCCUCGCGCGAUUGGAGCGGCCGAUGUCAGAUUAGGUAGUUGGUGGGGUAAAGGCUCACCAAGCCAACGAUCUGUAGCUGGUCUGAGAGGACGACCAGCCACACUGGGACUGAGACACGGCCCAGACUCCUACGGGAGGCAGCAGUGGGGAAUUUUGGACAAUGGGCGCAAGCCUGAUCCAGCAAUGCCGCGUGCAGGAAGAAGGCCUUCGGGUUGUAAACUGCUUUUGUACGGAACGAAACGGCUCUGGUUAAUACCCGGGGCUAAUGACGGUACCGUAAGAAUAAGCACCGGCUAACUACGUG